rnacentral:rRNA from 1 species
AGCGGCGGACGGGUGAGUAACGCGUGGCAACCUGCCUUACACAGGGGGAUAACAGUUAGAAAUGACUGCUAAUACCGCAUAAGACCCCAGAACCGCAUGGUUCUGAGGUAAAAACUCCGGUGGUGUAAGAUGGGCCCGCGUCUGAUUAGGUAGUUGGUGAGGUAACGGCUCACCAAGCCGACGAUCAGUAGCCGACCUGAGAGGGUGACCGGCCACAUUGGGACUGAGACACGGCCCAGACUCCUACGGGAGGCAGCAG